AUUACCUUUUGAUGUGUUUGGUGGUUUGAAUAGGAGGGGGCCACCAUAGACUCAUGUGUUGGAAUGCUUGACCCAUGAGGAGUGAUACUAUUAGGAGGUGUGGCCUUGUUGGAGUAGGAGUGGCCUUGUUGGAGUAGGUGUGGCCUUGUUGGAGUAGGUGUGACCUUGUUGGAGUAGGUGUGGCCUUGUUGGAGUAGUUGUGAACUUGUUGGAUUGGGUGUGGCAUUGUUGGAGUAGGUGUGGCCUUGUUGGAGUAGGUGUGGCCUUGUUGGAGUAGGUGUGGCCUUGUUGGAGUAGGUGUGGCCUUGUUGGAGAGGGUGUGGCCUUGUUGGAGAAGGUGUGGCCUUGUUGGAGUUGGUGUGGCCUUGUUGGAGUAGGUGUGGACUUGUUGGAGUGGGUGUGGCAUUGUUGGAGUGGAUGUGACCUUGUUGGAGUAGGUGAGGCCUUGUUGGAGUAGGUGUGGCCUUGUUGGAGUAGGUGUGGCCUUGUUGGAGUGUGUGUGGCAUUGUUGGAGUGGAUGUGACCUUGUUGGAGUAGGUGAGGCCUUGUUGGAGUAGGUGUGGCCUUGUUGGAGUAGGUGUGGCCUUGUUGGAGUGGGUGUUGCCUUGUUGGAGUGGGUGUGGCAUUUUUGGAGUGGGUGUGGCCUUUUUGGAAUGGUUGUGGCCUUUUUGGAGUGGGUGUGGCCUGUUGGAUUGGGUGUGGCAUUGUUGGAUUGGGUGUGGCCUUGUUGGAGUGGGUGUGGCCUUGUUGCAGUAAGUGUGGACUUGUUGGAGUGGGUGUGGCCUUGUUGGAGUAGGUGUGACUUUGUUGCAGGAAAUGUGCCACUGUGGUGGCUUUGCAUUGAGAUUUGUAUAUACUCAAACUAUGCUCAGUGGUACAGACAAUCCCUUUCUGCUGUCUGUGCAUCAAGAACUUUGGGCUCCUCCAGCACCAGUCUGCCUGGAU
ensembl:lncRNA